rnacentral:rRNA from 1 species
AUGAUGUUCUUUACAGUAGAGUACAGUUCAAUGAACUUCUUGACAUCAGUAGGGGUGACACCUUCACCAUCAAAAAGGUAUGUCAGAUAG